rnacentral:rRNA from 1 species
AUUGAACGCUGGCGGCAGGCCUAACACAUGCAAGUUGAACGGUAACAGGAAGAAGCUUGCUUCUUUGCUGACGAGUGGCGGACGGGUGAGUAAUGUCUGGGAAACUGCCUGAUGGAGGGGGAUAACUACUGGAAACGGUAGCUAAUACCGCAUAACGUCGCAAGACCAAAGAGGGGGACCUUCGGGCCUCUUGCCAUCGGAUGUGCCCAGAUGGGAUUAGCUAGUAGGUGGGGUAACGGCUCACCUAGGCGACGAUCCCUAGCUGGUCUGAGAGGAUGACCAGCCACACUGGAACUGAGACACGGUCCAGACUCCUACGGGAGGCAGCAGUGGGGAAUAUUGCACAAUGGGCGCAAGCCUGAUGCAGCCAUGCCGCGUGUAUGAAGAAGGCCUUCGGGUUGUAAAGUACUUUCAGCGGGGAGGAAGGGAGUAAAGUUAAUACCUUUACUCAUUGACGUUACCCGCAGAAGAAGCACCGGCUAACUCCGUG